rnacentral:rRNA from 1 species
AUUAAUUCGAUGCAACGCGAAAAACCUUACCUACCCUUGACAUGGUCGGAAGUCUGCUGAGAGGUGGACGUGCUCGAAAGAGAACCGGCGCACAGGUGCUGCAUGGCUGUCGUCAGCUCGUGUCGUGAGAUGUUGGGUUAAGUCCCGCAACGAGCGCAACCCUUGUCCUUAGUUGCUACGCAAGAGCACUCUAAGGAGACUGCCGGUGACAAACCGGAGGAAGGUGGGGAUGACGUCAAGUCCUCAUGGCCCUUAUGGGUAGGGCUUCACACGUCAUACAAUGGUCGGAACAGAGGGUUGCCAAGCCGCGAGGUGGAGCCAAUCCCAGAAAACCGAUCGUAGUCCGGAUCGCAGUCUGCAACUCGACUGCGUGAAGCGAAUCGCUAGUAAUCGCGGAUCAGCAUGCCG